CGCAGGCGGAGCGCCGGCUGCUCGGCCGCCGCUCAUAACGGCGGAAUGCCCGGAUCGACACCGGGGCCUGCGAC
rnacentral:tRNA from 1 species